UGGGGAAUUUUGGACAAUGGGCGAAAGCCUGAUCCAGCAAUGCCGCGUGUGUGAAGAAGGCCUUCGGGUUGUAAAGCACUUUUGUCCGGAAAGAAAUCCUUGGCUCUAAUACAGUCGGGGGAUGACGGUACCGGAAGAAUAAGCACCGGCUAACUACGUGCCAGCAGCCGCGGUAAUACGUAGGGUGCAAGCGUUAAUCGGAAUUACUGGGCGUAAAGCGUGCGCAGGCGGUUUGCUAAGACCGAUGUGAAAUCCCCGGGCUCAACCUGGGAACUGCAUUGGUGACUGGCAGGCUAGAGUAUGGCAGAGGGGGGUAGAAUUCCACGUGUAGCAGUGAAAUGCGUAGAGAUGUGGAGGAAUACCGAUGGCGAAGGCAGCCCCCUGGGCCAAUACUGACGCUCAUGCACGAAAGCGUGGGGAGCGAAACAGGAUUAGAUACCCUGGUAGUCCACGCCCUAAAACGAUGUCAACUAGUUGUUGGGGAUUCAUUUCCUUAGUAACGUAGCU
rnacentral:rRNA from 1 species